rnacentral:rRNA from 1 species
UACGUAGGUGGCAAGCGUUUGUCCGGAAUUAUUGGGCGUAAAGCGCGCGCAGGCGGUCCUUUAAGUCUGAUGUGAAAGCCCACGGCUCAACCGUGGAAGUGCACUCGAAACUGGAUGGCUAGAGUCCUGGAGAGGAAGGUGGAAUGCUUGGUGUAGAGGUGAAAUUCGUAGAUAUCAAGCGGAACACCGGUGGCGAAGGCGGCUAUCUGGAGCCGUAACUGACGCAUGAGGCGGCG